rnacentral:rRNA from 1 species
UAUUGGCCAAUGGGCGAAAGCCUGAUCCAGCAAUGCCGCGUGAGUGAUGAAGGCCUUAGGGUUGUAAAGCUCUUUUACCCGGGAUGAUAAUGGCAGUACCGGGAGAAUAAGCUCCGGCUAACUCCGUGCCAGCAGCCGCGGUAAUACGGAGGGAGCUAGCGUUGUUCGGAAUUACUGGGCGUAAAGCGCACGUAGGCGGCUUUGUAAGUUAGAGGUGAAAGCCUGGAGCUCAACUCCAGAAUUGCCUUUGAUACUGCAUCGCUUGAAUCCAGGAGAGGUGAGUGGAAUUCCGAGUGUAGAGGUGAAAUUCGUAGAUAUUCGGAAGAACACCAGUGGCGAAGGCGGCUCACUGGACUGGUAUUGACGCUGAGGUGCGAAA